AUUGAACGCUGGCGGAAUGCUUUACACAUGCAAGUCGAGCGGGGUGAUGGUGCUUGCACUAUCACUUAGCGGCGGACGGGUGAGUAAUGCUUAGGAAUCUGCCUAUUAGUGGGGGACAACAUCUCGAAAGGGAUGCUAAUACCGCAUACGUCCUACGGGAGAAAGCAGGGGAUCACUUGUGACCUUGCGCUAAUAGAUGAGCCUAAGUCGGAUUAGCUAGUUGGUGGGGUAAAGGCCUACCAAGGCGACAAUCUGUAGCGGGUCUGAGAGGAUGAUCCGCCACACUGGGACUGAGACACGGCCCAGACUCCUACGGGAGGUAGCAGUGGGGAAUAUUGGACAAUGGGGGGAACCCUGAUCCAGCCAUGCCGCGUGUGUGAAGAAGGCCUUAUGGUUGUAAAGCACUUUAAGCGAGGAGGAGGCUCUUUUGGUUAAUACCCAAGAUGAGUGGACGUUACUCGCAGAAUAAGCACCGGCUAACUCUGUGCCAGCCGCCGCAGUAA
rnacentral:rRNA from 1 species